rnacentral:rRNA from 1 species
AACAGGGAUUGCCUUAGUAACGGCGAGUGAAGCGGCAAAAGCUCAAAUUUGAAAUCGGCCYCCAGGUCGAGUUGUAAUUUGUAGAUUGUAUCUUGAGAGCGGAUUAAAGUCUGUUGGAACACAGCGCCUUAGAGGGUGACAGCCCCGUAAAAUCUAUUCUCAUUGUAAGAUACUUUCGAAGAGUCGAGUUGUUUGGGAAUGCAGCUCUAAGUGGGAGGUAAAUUCCUUCUAAAGCUAAAUAUUGACGAGAGACCGAUAGCGAACAAGUACUGUGAAGGAAAGAUGAAAAGCACUUUGAAAAGAGAGUGAAAAAGUACGUGAAAUUGUUAAAAGGGAAGGGUAUUGAAUCAGACUUGGUGCUGUUGUUCAACUGUGUUUUGGCACAGUGUACUCAGCAGUACUAGGCCAAGGUGGGGUGUUUGGGAGUGAAAAAGAAGUUGGAACGUAACUCUUCGGAGUGUUAUAGCCUACUUUCAUAGCUCCUCAGGCGC